CGCGAAUGUCGAGGUUUUUAAACGUUGUGGUAUCAGAGCUGGCCUCUGUAUUCAUUUGAGCAGGGCGGCGUUGUGUUGGAUGGAGCUUGACUGCCCUCGUGUGUCCAAACUCGGGAACGGCAGUUUCCCAGAAGGGGUAUUCUGUUCCAAGUUUGUGGUAGUUAGCCAAGAAAUAUUACAUGAUUACUAUUACUCUCUCUCCCCUUUUUUAAACCCGUUCACGAUAAUUAUUGUAUACAUUACCUUUAUUUUUGUAAUCUUCUUCCCUAUUUGUGGAUAUUCUCGAGUGAAAUAGAUGAGGCCACGUAGGGAACACAUGAAGUUACCUAGGAGCAGAGUCUAAAAUAUCUUUUUGAGGGACCUCAAACUAUUAUCAUUUGCUAUACUAUUGAUCAUUACGUUAAGUACAUCUUAUUCGUAAAAAGUACUUAAUGAAGAUAAUAUACUUUAUAUUUUUUUAUGUAACCAUUCAAGUAUUUGUUGAAAUGCUUUUGUUACUGAUAAAUACAUGUACAUUUAAAUUGAUUUUGUUCUGUCUGUGAUUUUGUACAUCUGGAUGUUCAACUGGUCUCAGAUCAAGCAUCCUCCUCUGUACUGACUCCACUAUCCCCAGCUUCAUCCCAUUCAUCAGAUUCCACAAUUGUCCUGGAGUCCACAAGAAAGAGGAGGAACCCAACAGGGUUAAUGGACCAGAAUGAAGCAAGACAGAAAGUUGAUUGUGUUCUGAGGGCCAAUCCAAAGGGUGAGGAAAUCUUCAAGGAGUAUGAAAAGACCAAAACACUAACAGAUGGUGAACGUCCUGGUUGCAGACAUGUUAGAGCUACAUGGGUAAGAAUUGGAGGUCACUUCCCUCCCUUUGUCAUCACAACAGAUUCAUGUGGCGCAGCUAAAGAAUGCUAUUCUGUGUUGCUAUAAAAGGGGAAUUUAUCCUUUAACUUCUUGCAAAACAUACACGCUUGCAAAGUAAAUUGAUUUAUUUGAAAGGAUGAUUCCAUCGUCAAGACGAAUUAUGCACUGGGAAUUGUGACACUUUUUCCAUACCUCCAAGAUCCUUUCUCCAAACAUGGAUAUGUAAGUUCUGUCUGAAAACCCAAACCAGUGUGUUUUUAUAUUUUCUUCCCUUUUAUAGUUUUAAAGUUAAAAUGAUCUUGUUUUAGAUGAGUGUUUAUAGGUUGCUCAGCUUUGUAUUUUCCACUUGUUUUUGUAGUGUUAUAUAGUCAUUGUGUGAACUUACUGUGUUGAGUAAUUCAUUCUUGAAGCCAAGCACGAGAUGCCUCUCUUUGGGUCUUUUCUUAAACAGGAACACUACUAUGAUCCUGAGGGUAAUAGUGGCUUCAUUGCAUGGAGGAUCAAGACAGUUCAACGUAACACCUGUGCUGGCUCCCGGUGUCAUUCCAAGACUGUUCUUCAGGAUGGUCCAAAAACCAGACGAGAAUCUCUGUUAUUCUGUCAACAGCAAUUUGGUGAGGAGUGCAGGGAGGCGAUAUCUACGAUACGAUAUUCCACUGAUGAAUCUGUGGUCAAAGAGAAGAUGAGCGACUUUCCAGUAUCGGCAGAAGGUGGUCGGUGAGGAUGCACCAUCUUCAGUCCUGGAUUUGUUCCCUCGUUUCCUUGAUGUACCUGGAUUGGUAAGAAAAUCUUUAGCUUUGGAAAUAGUUUUGAAAAGGAAAUUUUCUCUGUAGUUAUUAAAUGAGUUCACUGGUACAGUAGAGAAAGGAGUUGUUCAAUGAUCACCGUAACACCAACAGGCCGGUCCAAACUGAGAAAUUCAACGUUCUAAUCUUUUAUAUCCCAAAUGUAUGCAUAAAUAACACAGCAGAUCUUAAUUUUUAGUAUUUGACCUUUUAUCCAUUUAUGUCCGUUAUGUUUAAACCUGUAUAAACCUUGUUUAUAGAUCGACCAGGAUUUCUCCAUGAUGUUUGGUGACGAAGUGUCUCAGAAGUUCCUGGCAAAGUGGUCAAUAUUCUUCAAGCCAAAAAUCAUUGCAGACUGCAAGACUCUUAAGAAUAUGGGCGAGCUGCUGUCAGGAACUGAACCUGAAUCUGAGGACUACAAUGGUCAGUAUAAACUGUUUUGUAUUUUAAAAAUGUUCCAGUCUUUAAAAAAAUAAUUAAAGAGAGAUCAUUUAAUUAUUUUGUGAUGUCUUUACGAUGGGACAGCGAUAUGUCCUCAAUCCUUUUGCAGCUGCAUCUGCUCCCUCUAACCUCAAGAGGCCAGAAAAAAAAUAUCCAAGAUCAGUUCAGCUCAAGCAACCAGCCAUCUUGUGAGAUAUCUUAAGGAAGGAGCCAGUGUGACUACCUUCAUUGAGAGUGCUGACACAAGACAACCAUUCCUCCUCUGCAUCAGUGAGCGAAAGAAGGAUAUCCCAAAGUUCUACGUUAUUAUCGACCAAAAGGCGAUCCCAUGUAAGGC